GUGGGGAAUAUUGCACAAUGGGCGAAAGCCUGAUGCAGCAACGCCGCGUGAGCGAUGAAGGCCUUCGGGUCGUAAAGCUCUGUCCUCAAGGAAGAUAAUGACGGUACUUGAGGAGGAAGCCCCGGCUAACUACGUGCCAGCAGCCGCGGUAAUACGUAGGGGGCUAGCGUUAUCCGGAAUUACUGGGCGUAAAGGGUGCGUAGGCGGUCUUUCAAGCCAGAAGUGAAAGGCUACGGCUCAACCGUAGUAAGCUUUUGGAACUGUAGGACUUGAGUGCAGGAGAGGAGAGUGGAAUUCCUAGUGUAGCGGUGAAAUGCGUAGAUAUUAGGAGGAACACCAGUAGCGAAGGCGGCUCUCUGGACUGUAACUGACGCUGAGGCACGAAAGCGUGGGGAGCAAACAGGAUUAGAAACCCUAGUAGUCC
rnacentral:rRNA from 1 species